GACGAACCGUGCGAACGUUGUUCGGAUUCACUGGGCUUAAAGGGCGCGUAGGCGGACCCAAAAGUCCGGGGUGAAAUCUUUCGGCUUAACCGGAAAAUCGCCUUGGAUACUGUGGGUCUCGAGGGAGGUAGGGGCAUGCGGAACUUCCGGUGGAGCGGUGAAAUGCGUUGAUAUCGGAAGGAACUCCGGUGGCGAAAGCGGCGUGCUGGAUCUCUUCUGACGCUGAGGCGCGAAAGCCAGGGGAGCAACGGG
rnacentral:rRNA from 1 species